GAACGGGAUGGUGAACACACACACACACACACAAACACACACAAACACAUGCGUGCACACACACACACACAC